rnacentral:rRNA from 1 species
GGGCUACGGGCGAGAUUCUCUGAUUCACCUCCCACCCGUGUUUAUUGUACCUUGUUGCUUCGGCGGGCCCGCCUCACGGCCGCCGGGGGGCAUCUGCCCCCGGGCCCGCGCCCGCCGAAGACACCUUGAACUCUGUAUGAAAAUUGCAGUCUGAGUCUAAAUAUAAAUUAUUUAAAACUUUCAACAACGGAUCUCUUGGUUCCGGCAUCGAUGAAGAACGCAGCGAAAUGCGAUACGUAAUGUGAAUUGCAGAAUUCAGUGAAUCAUCGAGUCUUUGAACGCACAUUGCGCCCCCUGGUAUUCCGGGGGGCAUGCCUGUCCGAGCGUCAUUGCUGCCCUCAAGCCCGGCUUGUGUGUUGGGUCUCGUCCCCCUUCCCGGGGGGACGGGCCCGAAAGGCAGCGGCGGCACCGCGUCCGGUCCUCGAGCGUAUGGGGCUUUGUCACCCGCUCUGUAGGCCCGGCCGGCGCUUGCCGAUCAACCAAAACUUUUUUCCAGGUUGACCUCGGAUCAGGUAGGGAUACCCGCUGAACUUAAGCAUAUCAAUAAGCGGAGGGAUCAUUACGGAGCGAGAAUUCUCUGAAUUCACCUCCCACCCGUGUUUAUUGUACCUUGAUGCUUUCGCGGCCCCCUCACGG